UUCCCGAUAAUCGUACUGCAUCUAAAUGCAAAUUUAGACGACAGCAAUACUUUUUCCAGCGAGUUCCAUUUCAGUCUACGGUUACUGCUACGGUAAAAUUAAUGAACCGAACUGCUCUGUAGAGAAAAGACAACGGAUAAAGAAGAUAAGAAAGUUGUGAUAUUGAUACAUGUAUGUUAAAGUUGUGAUACUGAUUUUCGACAGUAUGGUUUGGGCUGGGAAGGUUUUAGAUUUUGUCUCAUGAAUGCGAAUUUGACGGGAGGUGACUUGCCGUAACAGCGCUAGUUAUGAUAGUGUCAGUGCUAAUUAUGGCAUACUGCGCGAGCCAAAUUAAUCCAAUACUAACUGGAUACACAAGAGCUAUGCAUAAGGAAAGUAAUUAGAAAAAUUGUUGUUUGAUAAUGACACAAUAUAUGAAUAUCGUAUAUAAUACGACAAAUAAUUGUAAUUAAAAUUGAAAUGAAUAUCGUAUAAUUAGUACGUUACAUUUCUGGUAAAUAAUUAAUAAUUAUUCUGGUAAAUAAUA